rnacentral:rRNA from 1 species
UACGAAGGGUGCUAGCGUUGUUCGGAAUCACUGGGCGUAAAGCGCGCGUAGGCGGCGUAACAAGUCAGAGGUGAAAGCCUGGAGCUCAACUCCAGAAUUGCCUUUGAAACUGUUAUGCUAGAGUGUCGGAGGGGAUAGCGGAAUUGCUAAUGUAGAGGUGAAAUUCGUAGAUAUUAGCAGGAACACCGGUGGCGAAGGCGGCUAUCUGGACGACAACUGACGCUGAGGCGCGAAAGCGUGGGGAUCAAACAGG